rnacentral:rRNA from 1 species
UACGUAGGUGGCAAGCGUUGUCCGGAUUUACUGGGCGUAAAGAGCGCGCAGGCGGUCGGAUAAGUCGAAUGUGAAAGCCCCCGGCUCAACUGGGGAGGGUCAUUCGAUACUGUUCGACUCGAAGGCAGGAGAGGGAAGUGGAAUUCCCGGUGUAGUGGUGAAAUGCGCAGAUAUCGGGGAGGAACACCAGUAGCGAAGGCGGCACUCUGGGCCGGUACUGACGCUGAUGCGCGAAAGCGUGGGGAGCAAACAGG